AUUGAACGCUGGCGGCAUGCUUUACACAUGCAAGUCGAGCGGUAACAGGCCUUCGGGUGCUGACGAGUGGCGAACGGGUGAGUAAUGCAUCGGAACGUACCCAGAGGUGGGGGAUAACGCAGCGAAAGCUGUGCUAAUACCGCAUGUGAUCUGAGGAUGAAAGCGGGGGACCGAGCAGCAAUGUUUGGCCUCGCGCCUUUGGAGCGGCCGAUGUCGGAUUAGCUAGUUGGUGGGGUAAAGGCCUACCAAGGCGACGAUCCGUAGCUGGUCUGAGAGGACGACCAGCCACACUGGGACUGAGACACGGCCCAGACUCCUACGGGAGGCAGCAGUGGGGAAUUUUGGACAAUGGGCGAAAGCCUGAUCCAGCAAUGCCGCGUGCGGGAAGAAGGCCUUCGGGUUGUAAACCGCUUUUGGCAGGAACGAAACGGUGUCCGCUAAUACCGGGCGCUAAUGACGGUACCUGCAGAAUAAGCACCGGCUAACUACGUG
rnacentral:rRNA from 1 species